AGGCCCCGGUGGCCGAAUGGGUAAUGCGGCCACCAGGUAGCGCCUUGGCGUGGGGACCCAGGGUGCGUGGGUUCGAAACCCACAGGGGACAACAUUACAUCCAGAGCCAACUUCUCAGCUUCUAAAAUAAUGGGAUGUGAACUUGCCAAGUAGGUACCUUCAGGUGGACCUACUAUCUGAUUUAGCUUAUUGUUUCUGGGCUGGAAACCUGUAUUGCAUGUACCAAUUCUGUCUUUCAUUAAUUUUCCUAUGUUCUUGUUAUUCUUGGCGCUGUUCAACACUAAGCAUUCCUCCGGUAUAACCAACUCUUGCCUGUAUUUAACAUCACACAAGGACUCGUCAUAAGCGCUGCUUGCAUACGAGUAUAACGGAAGAAUAAUAAUAAUAAUAACUCACUGAGAGACAUAUGC
rnacentral:sRNA from 1 species